rnacentral:RNase_P_RNA from 1 species
GAAGCGCGCCAGACAGUCGCUGUGUUCGCACAGAGGAAAGUCCGGACUCCACAGGGCAGGGUAGUGGGUAACACCCAUCCACCGCAAGGUGCGGAUCAGAGCAACAGAGACGAGUCGUCCGGUCUUGGCGACCAGCGAGCGGCGCAAGCCGCGAGCUUGUCUGCUCAAGACCGGGCGGGUGAAACGGGCAAUCUCUACCCGGAGCAAACCCAAAUAGGCAGGCGUUGAGGCGGCCCGCGGAGCCUGCGGGUAGGGUGCUAGAGGCCCACGGCAACGUGGGUCCCAGAGGAAUGACUGUCAUAGCACGCAAGUGCCGUAACAGAAUCCGGCUUAUCGGCGCGCUUCCCCU